UUGCCUGCUAGGAAGUAAUUUUUCAAAUUGUCCUGCUGAGACUGGUCCUGGUUUCCAGUAAUUCCUGCUUUCACUUUCACUCUGCUUCCAAUGCCUCAGGGCAGGGCACUCAAAAUCUGACAUAUAAGGGCUUCUUUUUCCACCGCCCUUGGCUGUGGAUCACCUACACUGAUGUGCUUGUGUUCAGAUCUUCUUUAAGUAUUUUGAGUUUGCUCCUCACUGUAAGCAGAGUUCCUUGAGGUGUAUUACAUUGAUAUGGAUGCUGCAAGAAAGGAGUUUUGAUUCCACAGUCUUCACUGUAUACUCUUAGACUCAGUGAACCCUCUUUGAACCAGUGGACGGAUGUGGAGCUUGGAAUGGAGCAGAAUAAAAACAAGCAAACAGGG
rnacentral:lncRNA from 1 species